ACAUGAUUCAUACCAAACGCAGACUCAUAGUUAGUUAAUAUCCACUGGUGACCUGAAGAGGGAAUGGUGUGGAAGGUUUGGAUUGACUCAUGGGACUAGAAGAAUCUAACGUACGGUUUUCGGGCAUGUGGACUCCAUCCACAAUUCUCACCCUUGGUACAUGUAUCACAGGCUUACUUCUCACAGUUCAAGGGGACUUGUCAAAUACGACUAUUCAUCACCAGUCGGCGGAUCAGUUGGUCAGAGUCCGUGGGGAGAAGGAACGAAGGGGGCAGGUUGAAGUGCGCGUGUCCGCAGAGAAUUCCACGUGGUAUCCGGUUUGUUAUGAUGCCAAUGCCAUUCUUUGGGACCCGACGCAAAUGGUCGCGUUUUGGUUAUGUGAAACGCAACUGGAACUCAACGUAUCAUGGGCGGAAUCAGAAUUCAGUGAUGUCUGGCCAUCAGACACAGAAUUUACCAUGGUUGUGUGUACCAGUGAAACAAACUGCAGCUUUAGUCUGGGGCCAAGUUGUUCAACUAAAAGGAGUUUG